rnacentral:rRNA from 1 species
AACGAACGCUGGCGGCAGGCCUAACACAUGCAAGUCGAGCGCCCCGCAAGGGGAGCGGCAGACGGGUGAGUAACGCGUGGGAAUCUACCCAUCCCUACGGAACAACUCAGGGAAACUUGAGCUAAUACCGUAUACGCCCUUCGGGGGAAAGAUUUAUCGGGGAUGGAUGAGCCCGCGUUGGAUUAGCUAGUUGGUGAGGUAAUGGCUCACCAAGGCGACGAUCCAUAGCUGGUCUGAGAGGAUGAUCAGCCACACUGGGACUGAGAAACGGCCCAGACUCCUACGGGAGGCAGCAGUGGGGAAUCUUGGACAAUGGGCGCAAGCCUGAUCCAGCCAUGCCGCGUGAGUGAAGAAGGCCUUAGGGUUGUAAAACUCUUUCGCCGGUGAAGAUAAUGACGGUAGCCGGAGAAGAAGCCCCGGCUAACUUCGUGCCAGCCGCCGCAGUAACAC